CCGCUGGAAGAAAGGAAAAACAUAAAGGUCACUGGCGGUACGGUACUAAUUACCGCAGGAUUGGUUUUCCUACAGCUCUUUUCUGAAUAAGGAUGGGCUGAGAGACUGGCGGGGAAGAACGUCAUACACUUCUGUAACCUGAACAGCUGCGAAUAUCUUCCGGUCUCCUCAUCCUACCAAAUGCUACGAAAAUUUCAGUGAGUAGAGAGCUUGGGUCUUACUGGCACUAGAGAACAUGUUGUCAAACUCAAUGAUGAGAUCAUCAUCUCGGUCGAAGCGCUCAAACCGAACCAGGGGAGAAGCAUUCAUAUCUGGAUAAUCUUCGUCCAGUUCCAUUUCAGAACCAUCGUCAUCAUCGUCCUCAUCUCCUUCUUCACCCUCUUCAUCAUCCUUGAUGGAAAAAUAGAAGGUAGAAUUAGGAUUUUUAGGGUAAUCCCAACGGAAACCUGCAAAACGUUUAUGUAUCAUGAGUAGGUGAAGGCAUAACCUGGGUCUUGGCAUUUUUGUUUUUUCUGGGUGUCAUUUUCUCGGUGUCAUCUCUUAGUUUAGAGGUAAUUCCUUGAAGAUACACACACACCUUUGGGUGGCUUUUUAUACAAGGACAUAUAAGUUGAGGGGCUAAGUGGCAUAUUUUAAGUGAACUAGGCAUAUUUUAAGUGAGCUAUCCUUAAAAUCAUUUUUUCACCUUUUUUUCCCCUGAAACACAGUCAGGGUGGGUAGGGCGUCUAUUGGGAGAGGUUGUCCGAGAUGAGGGAGGAGCAAAAAGCAAGAAGGGGAGAGGGUGACACAGCCACCCUACUCAAGGGUUCUCUGCCUUGAAAAGCGGAAGCCUCUCCUCUCCUGCUUAGGAGACUCGGGGGCAGCCACAGCUCUGGAAAAAUAGGAUUUGAGCUGCUGAGGGAGAUGCAGGGUGGGGAUAACUGGCCUCGGCUGCCCGUCUCCUUUCCUACUUUCCGGCAGCAGGGUGGCUACGCCUGUCCCAAGAAAAAUUUAAUGCAUCAACUGACUUGGUCAUCUUCUUCAUCUUCCUCCUCCUCUUCCUCCUCAUCUUGACUAUCAUCUUCAUCUUCAUUGCUGCCACUACUGUCUUCCUCCUGGGUGUGCUCCUCUUCAUCUUCGGGAUCCAAGAUGUUCAUUGAAUCUAAAAAAAAAAAAAAGACAAGGAAUCACUGGGAGAACUGGACUGCAAUGGAUGCAGUGAGCAAGCGAGAAGGGCAAGACGCCAAACCUUGAAGCAUUCGUCAAAAAAGUGAUACCAACCAGUCCAAGAUCUCGGUGCUCAAAUAAAUGCCUCUGACUGAC